rnacentral:rRNA from 1 species
UACGUAGGGGGGCUAGCGUUGUCCGGAUUUAUUGGGCGUAAAGAGCGUGUAGGCGGCCAGGUAGGUCUGCUGUGAAAACUCGAGGCUUAACCUCGAGAUGUCGGCGGAAACCAUCUGGCUAGAGUCCGGAAGAGGAGAGUGGAAUUCCUGGUGUAGCGGUGAAAUGCGUAGAUAUCGUAAGGAAGACCAGUGGCGAAGGCGGGUCUCUGGACAGUUCCUGACGCUGAGGCACGAAGGCCAGGGGAGCAAACGGG